GUUCCUCUUUCUGUUUUCAUCAUCAUUAUCACUGCUCGCUUCAGUGCGUGUUUCUGAUUGGUCAGCAGGCAGCAGUGGGUGUGGCCCAGAGAAACCCAGCGUCAGUGACAUCAUUAACCUCGAGAUGUUGCAACUUGGAUCCAAACUGAAAUCAAGUAACACGCAGUCAGGCUGGUCCUGUCCUUCCUGUACAUUCAUAAAUAAGUCUACGAGACCCGGCUGUGAAAUCUGCAGCACAGAUCGACCCGAUCACAGCAGCGUUCAACAGGAAAAAGCUAGAAGCUCUAACCAGUGAAAGUGUGCUGUAAAUACACACAAACAGAGACAAAACCCCUAAAAUAAUCUUACACAUUCACAUUCGAACGACGCGUGAGGACCUACAAUGCGAGUAAGAGUUGGCCUGCAGCGUAUUUCACCGGUGGGUUAAUCUCUAUUAGUUUACAGUAACUAGUAACUGACUUGUUGCUUGGUUUCCCUUAAAGGAGUCGUGACAUGGAUUUGCUUUUGAGCUUGAUUAAACGCUUUGUUUUUAAUGAGGAUUAAGCUGUGAAACUUGCAGGAUGUUUUAAAGGUACAAAGACCUCUUACAUGUCAAAAGAUCGAGGAACAUUAUAUUUCUCAUGCCGUGACGCCUUUAAUGGAGUGAUAUAACUUGAACAGUAUUAGGCACCAGAAGUUAUUCAGGUUCAUUGAGAUAAUAAAAAACAAAGCAGAAACCGUGUCAUGUGUGGCGUUAGAUGGUACGAACUCAAGUCUAUUUAGGACAAAUUGCAAGUUGUUUUAAAUAAGACAUUAUAAGAAUCCUUUAGCUUUGGUUGUAGAUUCAGAUGUGUAAUCUGAAGAGGAACGCUACAGUGGCAAAAUUCAACGUUAAUUAAACAUGCAGCAUUUCAAGCUUUAUUUUAAUGCACUUGUUGGAAAGGAGACGAUGCACAAGUUAGAAUUCCUAGAUUUCAGUCCGUUUGCAGACGUGACGCUUCUUUUGCCGUUUAUUCACAAGCUCAUACUGUAAUUUCUGCUCGUGCAACUGUUUAGGAAUAUUCUUCCCUCACUUCACGGUGUGUAAAUCAGUGUUCGUGUCCACUGGAACUAGAACAGGUUAAUUUAUGUUCAUCAAGCUCUAUUUUAGGGGCUUGUGUUUUAAAUGUGACUGUAUGUCAUAAUGUGACGAGGCCAGUACAUAAUGAGAAGAACAACUGAAUGGAACUUGCAUAAAUGCAUGUUAUGUCAAAUUUAUGGUCUAAUUAUUCCUUAUCAAAAUGACUGGGAAUUCUCAUUGAAGACUUUGUUCAUAUUUGGAACAAACUACAUUCAGAUACAGGGUUAUUAAGUACAUUUGUUAUUUUUUUACAUAGUGUUAUUUAAUGAACGGUUGCUUUGAACUGAAUUAUAAUUGCAUUGAAUAUGUGUGUAUUGUAAAUGAUUGUGUUUAAAGUCUACCUGCAUUUCUCC